UACGAAGGGGGCUAGCGUUGCUCGGAAUCACUGGGCGUAAAGCGCACGUAGGCGGCUUACUAAGUCAGGGGUGAAACCCUGGAGCUCAACUCCAGAACUGCCUUUGAUACUGGUGAGCUUGAGUCCGGAAGAGGUGAGUGGAACUGCGAGUGUAGAGGUGAAAUUCGUAGAUAUUCGCAAGAACACCAGUGGCGAAGGCGGCUCACUGGUCCGGUACUGACGCUGAGGUGCGAAAGCGUGGGGAGCAAACAGG
rnacentral:rRNA from 1 species